rnacentral:rRNA from 1 species
AUUGAACGCUGGCGGCAGGCCUAACACAUGCAAGUCGAACGGUAACAGGAAGAUGCUUGCUUCUUUGCUGACGAGUGGCGGACGGGUGAGUAAUGUCUGUGAAACUGCCUGAUGGAGGGGGUUAACUACUGGAAACGGUAGCUAAUACCGCAUAACGUCGCAAGACCAAAGAGGGGGACCUUCGGGCCUCUUGCCAUCGGCUGUGCCCAGAUGGGAUUAGCUAGUAGGUGGGGUAACGGCUCACCUAGGCGACGAUCCCUAGCUGGUCUGAGAGGAUGACCAGCCACACUGGAACUGAGACACGGUCCAGACUCCUACGGGAGGCAGCAGUGGGGAAUAUUGCACAAUGGGCGCAAGCCUGAUGCAGCCAUGCCGCGUGUAUGAAGAAGGCCUUCGGGUUGUAAAGUACUUUCAGCGGGGAGGAAGGGAGUAAAGUUAAUACCUUUACUCAUUGACGUUACCCGCAGAAGAAGCACCGGCUAACUCCGUG